rnacentral:rRNA from 1 species
CUAGAAACAAAGUGAGGCGAGACGGAGACGUUAAGCAAAGCACAAAAACCUAGUCCCAGUUCGGAUUGUAGUCUGCAACUCGAGUACAUGAAGCUGGAAUCGCUAGUAAUCGCAAAUCAGAAUGUUGCGGUGAAUACGUUCCCGGGCCUUGUACACACCGCCCGUCAAGCCAUGGGAGCCGGGGGUGCUUGAAGUGCGUCGCCGCAAGGCGCGCCCUAGAGCAAAACCGGUGACUGGGGCUAAGUCGUAACAAGGUAUC